rnacentral:rRNA from 1 species
AUUGAACGCUGGCGGCAGGCCUAACACAUGCAAGUCGAACGGUAGCACAGAGAGCUUGCUCUCGGGUGACGAGUGGCGGACGGGUGAGUAAUGUCUGGGAAACUGCCCGAUGGAGGGGGGUAACUACUGGAAACGGUAGCUAAUACCGCAUAAUGUCGCAAGACCAAAGAGGGGGGCCUUCGGGCCUCUUGCCAUCGGAUGUGCCCACAUGGGAUUAGCUUGUUGGUGGGGUAAUGGCCCACCAAGGCGACGAUCCCUAGCUGGUCUGAGAGGAUGACCAGCCACACUGGAACUGAGACACGGUCCAGACUCCUACGGGAGGCAGCAGUGGGGAAUAUUGGACAAUGGGCGCAAGCCUGAUGCAGCCAUGCCGCGUGUGUGAAGAAGGCCUUCGGGUUGUAAAGCACUUUCAGCGGGGAGGAAGGCAAUGCGGUUAAUAACCGUGUUGAUUGACGUUACCCGCAGAAGAAGCACCGGCUAACUCCGUG